AGCAGCCGCGGUAAUUCCAGCUCCAAUAGCGUAUAUUAAAGUUGCUGCAGUUAAAAAGCUCGUAGUUGAAUUUCGGGACCAUCAUGUUGGUCGUGCCUCGGUACGUACUGGCAUUGUUGGUUUCUCCCUUCUGACGAACCAGGAUGUCAUUAAUUUGGUGUCUUGGAGAAUCAGGACUGUUACUUUGAAAAAUUGAGUGUUUAAAGCAGGCUAACGCUUGAAUACAUUAGCAUGGAAUAAUGAAAUAGGACGUUUGAUCCUAUUUUGUUGGUUUCUAGGAUCGACGUAAUGAUUAAUAGGGAUAGUUGGGGGCAUUAGUAUUCAAUUGUCAGAGGUGAAAUUCUUGGAUUUAUUGAAGACUAACUACUGCGAAAGCAUUUGCCAAGGAUGUUUUCAUUAAUCAAGAACGAAAGUUAGGGGAUCGAAGACGAUCAGAUACCGUCGUAGUCUUAACCAUAAACUAUGCCGACUAGGGAUCGGAUGAUGUU
rnacentral:misc_RNA from 1 species